rnacentral:lncRNA from 1 species
AAAAUGUAGGCCUACUCUUAAACGACAGAGGGCGCAAACAAACAUGGCGUUUCGCGCCAUUUUUGAAAUGACAUCAAGUUGAGAUAACGAAUUAAAUAUCAAGUUAAUGGUUACGCAAUAUGAGAAACGUUCAAACAAUAAAGGAAAACAGUAUUGACGUACAAUCUUAUCAAGCGGGACGUGCUCACAUACAGACGGCAGGUUGCACGAAUGAACAGAUGAGUAGAUUGAUGAAAGGAGAGACGGAAGGUGGGACAGACAGGCAGACAGACGAACAAACAGAGGAACAGACACGGGGCAACAAUUCCGACAAUGCCGAAAGUGCUAUUUGAGAGGAUUUAAUGGCAGCGAUAUUUAUUUCAAAGGUCUCUAACGACAGUUGCCAGUGUAAAGGACAUGAGGAAGGUGUUUCUCCAUCGUUAAGGCCACCAUAUAGAAGAUCAGUUGAGCCAAAUACCGGUCUGUAACUGAAAGGUGUCCCUCCGCCAUUAAAUCCAGCUUAUGGAACGUCGGUUGAGUCAAAUACCAGUCCGUACAAAAAUGAUGGACCGAAGGCCACGCGGAAUGAAGUGUUUGUAUAAAUUACAGAUUAAAAGCUUUAUCCUCACUGUUUUCUUUGUAAUGCAACUAAAACUAUCAUUUAAUGUGAUUCAUAUUCCGACUAAAAACCUCAUUUGAACAGGCUAUAAUAAAUAACCCUCACUGUAUCUUUUGAUUGCUACUCAUUGCACCUUUUAUGUUCAAUCUGGGAGAUAAUACCCGGUAUUAUCUUUAUUUAGGAGAAACUUUUUGUUUUGUUUUUCAGAUUAUUUUAUUUUCAUCUACAACUGUAUCAAGCUAAUUCGAAUUUCCUUCUUUGGAUUGGAAGUAAUGUCUUAAAAAUAUGAAAAUAUUAUAUAAAUUUAUGAUAUACUUGUGGGUCUUUUACUCUUCAUUUCCGUUCAUUGUUAUAUAUCACUGUGUAAAGAUACUAGAUUCCAUUCAUUUGACUUAAAGUUAUUGCAAUUUAUGAUAAAGAUUAAA